rnacentral:tRNA from 2 species
GGCGAUGUAGGCGAAUUGGCAGAGCCGCCGGUCUGCAAAACCGGAAUUUGGGGGUUCGAGUCCCCUCAUCGCUU